rnacentral:rRNA from 1 species
GACGAACGCUGGCGGCGUGCUUAACACAUGCAAGUCGAACGGAAAGGCCUCUUUCGGGGGGUACUCGAGUGGCGAACGGGUGAGUAACACGUGAGUAACCUGCCCUUGACUUUGGGAUAACUUCAGGAAACUGGGGCUAAUACCGGAUAGGAGCUCCUGCUGCAUGGUGGGGGUUGGAAAGUUUCGGCGGUUGGGGAUGGACUCGCGGCUUAUCAGCUUGUUGGUGGGGUAGUGGCUUACCAAGGCUUUGACGGGUAGCCGGCCUGAGAGGGUGACCGGCCACAUUGGGACUGAGGUGCGGCCCAGACUCCUAAGGGAGGCAGCAGUGGGGAAUAUUGCACAAUGGGUGGAAGCCUGAUGCAGCAACGCCGUGUGCGGGAUGACGGCCUUCGGGUUGUAAACCGCUUUCGCUCAUGACGAAGCUUUGUGUGACGGUAGUGGGUAAAGAAGCACCGGCUAACUACGUG